UCGAUUCGAGCGAAAGCGAGAAAGCGUUGCCAACGGCAACGACCCGAAGGGCGAAGCGCGCAGCGCUGAGUAAUCCUUCCCCCGUCAUCC
rnacentral:sRNA from 2 species